AGUGAACGCUGGCGGUAGGCCUAACACAUGCAAGUCGAACGGCAGCACAGUAAGAGCUUGCUCUUACGGGUGGCGAGUGGCGGACGGGUGAGGAAUACAUCGGAAUCUACUUUUUCGUGGGGGAUAACGUAGGGAAACUUACGCUAAUACCGCAUACGACCUACGGGUGAAAGCAGGGGAUCUUCGGACCUUGCGCGAUUGAAUGAGCCGAUGUCGGAUUAGCUAGUUGGCGGGGUAAAGGCCCACCAAGGCGACGAUCCGUAGCUGGUCUGAGAGGAUGAUCAGCCACACUGGAACUGAGACACGGUCCAGACUCCUACGGGAGGCAGCAGUGGGAAAUAUUGGACAAUGGGCGCAAGCCUGAUCCAGCCAUACCGCGUGGGUGAAGAAGGCCUUCGGGUUGUAAAGCCCUUUUGUUGGGAAAGAAAAGCAGAGGUUAAUACCCCGCUGUUCUGACGGUACCCAAAGAAUAAGCACCGGCUAACUUCGUG
rnacentral:rRNA from 1 species